CUCUGGGGGAUUAGUGGCGAACGGGUGAGUGCACGUGAGUAACGUGCCCUGGACUCUGGGAUAACUUCGAGAGAUCGGGAGCUAAUAGCGGAUAGGACCUUGCACCGCAUGGUGUGGGGUGGAAAGUUUUUCGGUUUGGGAUGGACUCGCGGCCUAUCAGCUUGUUGGUGAGGUAAUGGCUCACCAAGGCGUCGACGGGUAGCCGGCCUGAGAGGGUGACCGGCCACACUGGGACUGAGACACGGCCCAGACUCCUACGGGAGGCAGCAGUGGGGAAUAUUGCACAAUGGGCGCAAGCCUGAUGCAGCAACGCCGCGUGCGGGAUGACGGCCUUCGGGUUGUAAACCGCUUUUAGUAGGGAAGAAGCCUUCGGGUGACGGUACCUGCAGAAAAAGGACCGGCUAACUACGUGCCAGCAGCCGCGGUAAUACGUAGGGUCCGAGCGUUGUCCGGAAUUAUUGGGCGUAAAGAGCUCGUAGGCGGUUUGUCGCGUCUGCUGUGAAAACUAGAGGCUCAACCUCUAGCCUGCAGUGGGUACGGGCAGACUUGAGUGGUGUAGGGGAGACUGGAAUUCCUGGUGUAGCGGUGGAAUGCGCAGAUAUCAGGAGGAACACCGAUGGCGAAGGCAGGUCUCUGGGCACUUACUGACGCUGAGGAGCGAAAGCGUGGGGAGCGAACAGGAU
rnacentral:rRNA from 1 species